rnacentral:tRNA from 1 species
UGCAUCGGCGGGAAUCGAACCCGUGGCCGCCCGCGUGGCAGGCGAGCAUUCUACCACUGAACCACCGAUGC